CGAGCUUGCUUUGCUCUCCCACAGCAUCUUCUUGGAAAGUAAAGCCUCGCUCCCAGCUUCCCUUCUGGUUCAGGGGGGCAGCUGCCUGCAGGGCUGUCUCAGUGUCCUACUCACCAGGAGGAAAGGGCCCUUGGCGGCCCAGUCUCGGGAGCUGCCAGAGCCGUACUCUUUGCCGGCCAGGACGAUGAGGGGGAGGCCCGCCUGCUGGUACCGCUCAGCGGCAUCGAACACAUCAAGCUGAGGAGGAGAGGAGGAAGGUUUUACUGACAGAGUAAAGGCACAGCGUGUAGACAGAGGCCAGUGAGUCCUGGGGGGACAUGCAGGAGUGUCUGCAGUUGGCCAAGCCAGUGUAAAUUCAAUGGCAAACUCAACCAAUCAGUUGCCUGGUCUACAAAUUUCCAGUUAAUGCCAUCUAUUAAUACUUACCUCUGUCAAAUUGAAUUUUAUACUCAUAAGUGAAAUGCCUUAUUGUCCUAAUUUUAGAAAAACAUUCAAAUCCUAGGGCAUCAGGGGGAAAAAGGAAAUUAGAUCAGUUUUGUUUUUUUUUUACUCUUCUAUUGAUUAAAAUAUUUUAAAGCAAAAGCAGAGAAUCCCACCUAAAUCUGGGUUUUGAUUCUGUACCAGAGACUUGGUGAUGGUUGGUUGUGAAGGGUGGCCAAACACAAAAAAAGGUCACGUGUUUGGAAAUUACAAAAAUGCAGACUUUUAUUCAUCACCCUUCUACGUGGAGGUCAAGGAAACGAUAGUAGAAACACUGAUGAAGCACCAAUCAACAAAGGACAAGAAAGGGAUAAGGAAUCUCUUAGUAUGUAUGAGAAACAGCUUUAACAAACAGAUUCGUUUGUUUCUCAUAGGAACUCGGAACAUUCUCCUGAGCUGAGGCUUCACAAAGACGGGUGAUAUCAUUGAUGGCCUGUGUCUCCCUGUUUGACAGUCUGGAUUUCCCCGCUACAGCUCCGUAAUUUAGGUGCACACAGGUCCACCACUACCACUGAGUCAAAUAACAGCUGCAGCUGACAUUCUGUGGACGUGGCUGGCCCUGCAUUCCUCUGCCGAUGACAGAUGCUCGCUGUCAUCAGUAGCAGCUCUCCACAUGGACCCCCGUUUACAUAGGUACAGCCUUGUUUCAUCGUGACUGUUAGAAAUUCACGUGCUUUUCUGAUCCUUGAGAGGUCUUUGGUUAUGCCGUGUAUGGAAAAGGAGUCUACAACCCCUAUAACACUGCCCAUAUGAUGUAACCAACGCUAAAGCUGAUCCAAAUCAAGUUUAUGGAGAAGGAAAUGAUAACCCACUCCAGCGUUCUUGCCUGGAGAACCCCAUGGACGAGGAGCCUGGUGGGCUACAGUCCAUAGGGUCGCAAGAGUUGGACAUGACUUAGCGACUAAACCACUAAAUCAAGUUUAAUGAAAAACUUGAUUGGAAUUACCUGUGGCCAUUUGGGUUAUACGUUUGCAUGUGGCUAGAAAUGGCUCAUAGGAUAUUUCUCCACUGAGAUUUGAUUUUUUUUUUUUCUGCUUACCUAUUGCCUUCUGUAAUUGUUGGCAAUGACCCCAGAGAUCUGAAGGUUAGUGUAAACUCUCAUGGCUUGUAGUGGAUACUAGACAGCCUUACACUAGGCUGCAUCCUGACUGAAAUAAAAUCCCUUGGUCUCCCCAAGGACAGUUGCCUGGGUCCUGGAAAGCAUAUUUAAGUCAAUACUGCAGGUUAAUUUUAUCUUGCCUUUGGAGUCCUAUUGACAGAAGCCUUGAUUAAAUGCAGUAUGAGAACAUUUGAACUGAUUUAGUUCUAGCUGCUGUUGGUUAGAUUAAUGAGAGUGGUCAACAGUAUGGCAUACUUCUGUGAUUUUUGCCAGAAGUCAAGACAUGGAGGAACAACAGGUGGAUUGCUGGGGAAGGCAGUCUUCCGUGGCCCCUGCACAUUUUUGCUGGGUAUGCCAAGGACACAAGAUCCUGACUGCUGUUUACACAUGCCAUUCCUUAGGGUGGUGUUUACAGAGAGCAGAGAUUGUUAAAAUUAUGUAAAGUCAGGCAUGUGCCUCAAAAUUACUAGGUGAGGAGAGGAACUGAGUGAGACUAUAGAUGAAACAGUGUUGUCUAAGAAUUUAUGAUCGUUGAGUCUGGAUCAUGGGUGCAUGUGAGUUCAAAGUGCAGACUUUGCUAUCACUAUGCGUUCGUGCAUGCCUGCAUGCAGUCUCUUUAGUCAUGUCCACCUCUUUACGACCCUAUGGACCAUAGCCUGCCAGGCUCCUCUGUGCAUGGGAUUCUCCAGGCACGAGUACUGGUGUGGUCCCAUGGGAGGUGGAAUAGCCCAAGUUCCACGUCAUUCUUGUGAAUUUCCAAGCUCAUUGCUCCUCCUCUGCAGCACAAACCUACUGUAUGUAUUAUAUCCUUCUGGGGUCCUCCAUGUCACUCACUCCCAUGGGACCCGAGGCAAGGACUUGAUUCUCAUGCCGCUUGCUGUGCCUUGAGUAACCAAGUUUUUCUAUGACCCAGGAGUCUCCUGCCCCCUGCCAGUAUUCAUAAACUAGUAACAGUCUCUUAUUAGCUUGGAAGUACGAUAUAAUCCCAAACCCUCACGGGUAUCUGUGUUUUGGGGGAGGGCAAAGGAUGUUAUGAUGUUUGCUUGAAGUCACCAGGCACAAAGUUAGUUGUGUAACUUUGUUUUUACAUUGAGGAAAAGAAUUCAAUUCAUUAAACUUGUCCUAAAGCUGCACCAAACUGCAGAGCUUGAAAUUUAGCACUUUUUAAUUCAGCCACUUUUUAAGUUUUAUUUAAAAACUUUAAAAUAAUGAAAGGUCUCAGCCAUUUACAAAAGUAGAGAGACUAGAAUUGUGAACACUGAUAUAGAUAUCCCUCAGCUUUAGCAAUUUUCAACUCAUAGCUAAUCUGAUUAUUUCUGUAUCUGCCUCCCAUCCCUGAUAACUUGAAAGCAUAUUUAUGAAAUCAUAUCACUUCAUUUUUAAUAUAUUUUAAUUUAAAAUGAUUGACUGGAAUUUGCUUUGUUUUGUAGUAUCUGUAUUCUUUGAAUUUCCAAGAACUAUUUUGUGAACAUAAGAUAUAUAGCACCAUUAAUAAUAAUUAAUGGAAAACCAUCACAAUUCUCCUUCUCCCUGAUUUCUGAAAUAUUUUAGAGGAACCCAAACUGUACAUAGUGGUAAAUGUAUGUUCCU